UCUUCUUCUUUACUCCUGGACAUCAAGCAGCCAAACUGAUGGCAUGAUUGUAAUAAGCAUUGACCCCUCUACCAAAAUUGUGAAAUUCAUGGCCCCAGGGUCAGGGGUUCUGGUGCUAGGGAGGGGUUAUAUAGAUUAUAAAGUGAAAAUGCAUUAUUUCUUUGAAAAUCUUCCUCUCUGCUCCUGGGUAUUAAAUAAACUAACUAAUACAUAGUUAGGAUGAGCAAGAGUGCCUCUUCCAAAAUUGUGAAUUUUAUGGCCCCAGGGGCAGGGGUUCUGGUGUUAGGGCGGGGCUCUAUUGAUUAUAUAGUGAAAAUGCAUAAAUUCUUUGAAAAUCUUCUUCUCUGCUCCUGGGUAUUAAAUAAA